GUUUUGCCGGCUCUCCUGUACUGCUGAGGAUUGCUACCAACUAGGUGGAUUUGGCUAUGGAGCCUGUGUAGUGUCAUCUGUUGGUAGCAACAGCAAUAUGCACUACCUGAAUAGCAAGGCUAGUUGAUUUGCAUAUUGCCAAUUCUACAGGCCGGAGCUAUAUUUUCUGUUAACCCCUUAAGGACAUAUUUCCGUCACGUGUGCUAAAGAGGUUAAUUAUGGUCUUCCCCACAGCGUUAUAAUAAGUUGCUCUAUGUUGUCUGCUAUGAUUUGACUGUUUGUAUUUUUAUUGAAUUGUCACAGCAAUCUUUAUGUAAUAAUCACUAGUCCUGAG